GCUCCUUUGGAGCAGUGGUUAGCUCAUCGGUCUCCGAAGCCGAGGGUCCGGGGUUCGAAUCCCCGAAGGAGUU